AAGUCGUAACAAGGUUUCCGUAGGUGAACCUGCGGAAGGAUCAUUAACACUUUGCUAUCCACUUAUCAACCAACCUGUGAACUUGUUUUACUGCAGCCGUUCAGCGGUGGUCGGAAGUCCCUAUCAGGCUCGAGUCUUGCGUUGCUUGCAACGCGUCGGUAGGGAAGUCCAGAGAGAGAUCUCGCCGCCUCUGUUUCGGUUUAUUGAACCCCUCAAACACGAAAGCCAAUCAGGUCGUAUCCUCGCCUGGUCCCUGGUUGGCGGGGUCGCCCAUUAUUAACCAUAUUAACCAUGAAUUGUUUUGACUGAUUUAUCAACCCAUAUCAGAAAUGGUUGGGUUUGAGUUGAUUACUCGAACGCAGUACAACUCUUAGCAAUGGAUAUCUUGGUUCUC
rnacentral:misc_RNA from 1 species